GGCGGUUCUCAGAUGACACACCCCAGAAUUGGACUCCCUCCUCUCUGGUUCCAGGUCAGUCACCCGAGAAUCACA
rfam:Myotis brandtii contig166772, whole genome shotgun sequence.